rnacentral:tRNA from 1 species
UUUCCCAUAGCUCAGCGGUCAGAGCGCAUGCAAAGCAUGAUGUCGUUGGUUCAAAUCCGACUGGGAGAG